rnacentral:rRNA from 1 species
GAUGAACGCUGGCGGCGUGCCUAAUACAUGCAAGUCGAGCGAACAGAUGAGGAGCUUGCUCCUCUGACGUUAGCGGCGGACGGGUGAGUAACACGUGGAUAACCUACCUAUAAGACUAGGAUAACUUCGGGAAACCGGAGCUAAUACCGGAUAAUAUAUUGAACCGCAUGGUUCAAUAGUGAAAGACGGUUUUGCUGUCACUUAUAGAUGGAUCCGCGCCGCAUUAGCUAGUUGGUAAGGUAACGGCUUACCAAGGCAACGAUGCGUAGCCGACCUGAGAGGGUGAUCGGCCACACUGGAACUGAGACACGGUCCAGACUCCUACGGGAGGCAGCAGUAGGGAAUCUUCCGCAAUGGGUGAAAGCCUGACGGAGCAACGCCGCGUGAGUGAUGAAGGUCUUCGGAUCGUAAAACUCUGUUAUUAGGGAAGAACAAAUGUGUAAGUAACUAUGCACGUCUUGACGGUACCUAAUCAGAAAGCCACGGCUAACUACGUG